rnacentral:rRNA from 1 species
UCUGUAAUGGAGGAAGCCACUUCGGUGGCAGGAAGACAGGUGGUGCAUGGUUGUCGUCAGCUCGUGUCGUGAGAUGUUGGGUUAAGUCCCGCAACGAGCGCAACCCUUAUUGUUAGUUGCUACCAUUUAGUUGAGCACUCUAGCGAGACUGCCCGGGUUAACCGGGAGGAAGGUGGGGAUGACGUCAAAUCAUCAUGCCCCUUAUGUCUAGGGCUACACACGUGCUACAAUGGUCGGUACAAUGAGAUGCAACCUCGCGAGAGUGAGCAAAACUAUAAAACCGAUCUCAGUUCGGAUUGUAGGCUGAAACUCGCCUACAUGAAGCUGGAGUUGCUAGUAAUCGCGAAUCAGAAUGUCGCGGUGAAUACGUUCCCGGGCCUUGUACACACCGCCCGUCACACCAUGAGAGUUGGCAAUACCCAAAGUUCGUGAGCUAACGCGUAAGGGAGGCAGCGACCUAAGGUAGGGUCAGCGAUUGGGGUGAAGUCGUAACAAGGUAGCCGUAGGAGAACCUGC